AGCAAGCUCGGGUUGGCUAGUCGGCCGU
rnacentral:sRNA from 1 species